GGAAUUUUGGACAAUGGGCGAAAGCCUGAUCCAGCAAUGCCGCGUGCAGGACGAAGGCCUUCGGGUUGUAAACUGCUUUUGUACGGAACGAAAAGCUUCUGGUUAAUACCUGGGAGUCAUUACGGUACCGUAAGAAUAAGCACCGGCUAACUACGUGCCAGCAGCCGCGGUAAUACGUAGGGUGGAAGCGGUAAUCGGAAUUACUGGGCGUAAAGCGUGCGCAGGCGGUUGUGUAAGACAGAGGUGAAAUCCCCGGGCUCAACCUGGGAACUGCCUUUGUGACUGCAAGGCUAGAGUACGGCAGAGGGGGGUGGAAUUCCGCGUGUAGCAGUGAAAUGCGUAGAUAUGCGGAGGAACACCGAUGGCGAAGGCAACCCCCUGGGCCUGUACUGACGCUCAUGCACGAAAGCGUGGGGAGC
rnacentral:rRNA from 1 species